rnacentral:rRNA from 1 species
UACGGGGGGGGCAAGCGUUGUUCGGAAUUACUGGGCGUAAAGGGCUCGUAGGUGGCCAACUAAGUCAGACGUGAAAUCCCUCGGCUUAACCGGGGAACUGCGUCUGAUACUGGAUGGCUUGAGUUCGGGAGAGGGAUGCGGAAUUCCAGGUGUAGCGGUGAAAUGCGUAGAUAUCUGGAGGAACACCGGUGGCGAAGGCGGCAUCCUGGACCGACACUGACGCUGAUGAGCGAAAGCUAGGGGAGCAAACGGG